CAGUCGCCACGGUAAUACGGGGGGUGCAAGCGUUAAUCGGAAUUACUGGGCGUAAAGCGCACGCAGGCGGUUUGUUAAGUCAGAUGUGAAAUCCCCGAGCUUAACUUGGGAACUGCAUUUGAAACUGGCAAGCUAGAGUCUUGUAGAGGGGGGUAGAAUUCCAGGUGUAGCGGUGAAAUGCGUAGAGAUCUGGAGGAAUACCGGUGGCGAAGGCGGCCCCCUGGACAAAGACUGACGCUCAGGUGCGAAAGCGUGGGGAGCAAACAGGAUUAGAUACCCGGGUAGUCCCUGUCUCUUAUAC
rnacentral:rRNA from 1 species